GGGGGCGCCUCUACCUGGAAAGCGGGGGCCGCCGGGAGACUGACUGCAGGACCCGCGGGUGACGCGCCCCGCCCCCGCACCCACCCAGCCCCCAGCUCGGCUUCCGGCUGCCCUUGACCCUUGGCAGUAGAAGCCGCGGAUCCAGCACCCCUUGGAGCUACUUAAAGAAGCAAUGAAUGGGUGUCCCCGGAGGAAGUGCUGCAGCCCAGGUAGGUGUGGUGGUGUCACCUGAGAAUGAGUUCAAUUCGCCAAGUUUCUGUUCUAUCUGUGUUUCUGAACUACUUCCUGGUCCAGAUGCUCCUCUACAAGUGGAGAUCAAUUAAAUCAAUUGCCCCUGCUGUCAGGACAGGCCAGUUUAGGGUAUCGGUUUUUCUUUGGCCUCUGGCUGCUUAGAAACUUAUUAAGUCCCUCAGGCUAACAAUCAAAAUAGGAUAGUUUGUCCAAACCCAGUUACAAUUCUUCGUCAAUAAAUGUUUUGAGAAAAAAGCCCAAUCGUUGUUUUUAGUUAUUCCUCUUUUAAAGCUUUAUGAGAAGUUCCAUAUCCACAUUGACAGUACAGAGUUGUUUUCAUUCAAGAGAUUUUUACUUCUGGUCUCUCCAGGAAUGAGCAUGAUGCCUCAGCAAGCCAGCCCUGGGUAUCUGAUAUGCUGUGCCAAUGUCCAAUAAACCUUUCUUCUCUCUUUUUUAAUAGUUUUAUUUCUAUUUUGGAUAGAGACAGAGAUAAAUUGAGAGGGGAAGGGGAAAUUGGGAAGGAACGAGAAAGAGAGACACCUGCAUCACUGCUAAACUGCUGUGAAACUUCCCCUCUGAAGGUGGGAACUGGGGGCUUGAACCCAGGUGCUUGCACACUGUAAUGUAUGUCAACCUGGCUUAUGAAAUUCUGUGGAUCAAACUCUGUACCUCAUGCUUGCAAGUCUGGUACUCUGCCCACUGUUCAGACAUCCUGGACUAUAUCCAUGCCCCCCCCCUUUUUUUUCCUUUUUGAGUUUUUUUUUACAUCGCUUUAUUGGGGAAAAUGUUGAUUUAUAAGAUGGUUGUUGUCACAGGUGUACAAUUUCACAUGUCCCCAUAAUAGGUAUCAGCACACCAACCAUACUCUUCCCUCUAACUUGCCAUCUUGCUCUACCAGACGGCACGUGUCCUCACUUCCCUCCCUCCCUAGUUGCAGGGGGAAAGCUUUGCGAGUGGUAAAACAGUAUUGCGGGAGUCUCUAUUCCUAUCCCUCUCUACCAACACUUCCCCCUCUAUUUCUGUCUCUAUCCAAUAAAUAAGUAAAGAUAAUAAUAAAAUGUUAGUAGCCUCUCUCCCUUUAAAGUCCUUGGAUCUGUUGUAAUUGAUCAUAACUAAUUUAAAUAUUUUCUUUAUAUUUCCCCUUUCUUUGUUCCUCAAGUCCUACCUCUUGAGUAAACAUCUGGUUUUUCUUUUUUUCUUUUUCUUUUCUUUUUUUUUUUUUUUUUGCCUCCAGGGUUAUCACUGGAGCUCACUGCCUGCACUAUGAAUCCAUUGCUCCUGGAGGCCCUUUUUUUCCCCACUAUUGUUGCCCUCGUUCUUGUCAUUAUUGUUAUUGCUGUUAUUGUUGUUGGACAGGACAGAGAAAUCGAGAGCAGAGGGGAAGACAGAAAAGGGAAGAGAAAGAUAGACACCUGCAGACCUGCUUCACCCCCUGUGAAGCAACCAGGGGUAUUGCUGGGGCUCAGUGCCUGCACUACGAAUCCACUGCUCCUGGAGGCUAUUUUUUCCCUUUUGAUGCCCUUGUUGCUUAUUGUUGUUGUUAUUGUUGUCAUUGUUAUUGGAUAGGACAGAGAGAAAUGGAGAGAGGAGGGGA